rnacentral:rRNA from 1 species
CCUACGUGAGGCAGCAGUGAGGAAUAUUGGUCAAUGGACGAGAGCCUGAACCAGCCAAGUAGCGUGAAGGAUGACGGCCCUAUGGGUUGUAAACUUCUUUUGUAUGGGAGUAAAAUGUUCCACGUGUGGGGUUUUGUAUGUACCAUAUGAAUAAGGAUCGGCUAACUCCGUGCCAGCAGCCGCGGUAAUACGGAGGAUCCGAGCGUUAUCCGGAUUUAUUGGGUUUAAAGGGCGCGUAGGUGGAUUGUUAAGUCAGUUGUGAAAGUUUGCGGCUCAACCGUAAAAUUGCAGUUGAAACUGGCAGUCUUGAGUACAGUAGAGGUGGGCGGAAUUCGUGGUGUAGCGGUGAAAUGCUUAGAUAUCACGAAGAACUCCGAUUGCGAAGGCAGCUUACUGGACUGCAACUGACACUGAGGCUCGAAAGUGUGGGUAUCAAACAGGAUUAGAUACCCUUGUAGUC